UACGGAAGGGGCAAGCGUUGUUCGGAAUCACUGGGCGUAAAGGGCGCGUAGGCGGGGAGGUAAGUCGGGUGUGAAAUCCCUCGGCCCAACCGAGGAACUGCGCCCGAGACUGCUUCUCUUGAGUCCCGGAGAGGAAGAUGGAAUUCCCGGUGUAGCGGUGAAAUGUGUAGAGAUCGGGAGGAACACCGGUGGCGAAGGCGGUCUUCUGGACGGUGACUGACGCUGAGGCGCGAAAGCGUGGGGAGCAAACGGG
rnacentral:rRNA from 1 species